UGGCUCAUUACAACAGCCUUAGUUUAUUGGAUCUUAGAGUCCUACUUGGAUAACUGUGGUAAUUCUAGAGCUAAUACACGCAAUCAAACCCUAACCUUACGGGCAGGGUGCAUUUAUUAGAACAAAACCAAUCGGCUUCGGUCGUCAUUGGUGAAUCUGAAUAACUACGCUGAUCGCACGGUCUCGCACCGGCGACAUAUCCUUCAAGUGUCUGCCUUAUCAACUUUCGAUGGUAGUUUACAUGACUACCAUGGUUGUAACGGGUAACGGAGAAUAAGGGUUCGACUCCGGAGAGGGAGCCUGAGAAACGGCUACCACAUCCAAGGAAGGCAGCAGGCGCGCAAAUUACCCACUCUCAGAACGAGGAGGUAGUGACGAAAAAUAACGAGACAGUUCUCUAUGAGGUCUGUCAUCGGAAUGGGUACAAUUUAAACCCUUUAACGAGGAUCUAUUGGAGGGCAAGUCUGGUGCCAGCAGCCGCGGUAAUUCCAGCUCCAAUAGCGUAUAUUAAAGCUGUUGCGGUUAAAAAGCUCGUAGUUGGAUCUGCGGUCGUAGAUACGGGUUCCCUUCAUGGGAUACUUGUUAUCUCGACCUACCUUGUUAGAUAUCUCUUAGUGCUCUUCAUUGAGUGCUCUGA
rnacentral:rRNA from 1 species